UCUCAAAGUGUACGAGAUUCCGGGGCAUGAGGAGUUCACGUGAUAGUAACGUAGCUUAACCAAUCAGACGCCGUCAUGGUGUACGUGCAGUCGUGUUGCUGUUUUUUUUCUUUCUCUCUGCCGGACCGUUGUCAAGGUAGCUGCAUGGCAUGCUAACCCUUCCCUGCAGAUAUUACUGUUUUGAGUGAGGAAAAGCCAGAUAUUCAAAUGUCUGUGUGACUUUUUAUCAUCGGCGCAGAGAGCGAAACUCCCCUUUUUGCCAUUGGUUGAUAGCGGACCGUGUUUUGUUACAGAAGGAGAAUUGGAACCUGGACUGAUGAGAGCCGUGUAUUCUGCAUUGUGCCCGGAGUGUGUGUGUGUGUUUAUGAUGCUUGAGCCUCUGGAAAAGUAUAGACGAAAGGCUUGUCAUUGGAGGAAGAGCUCUCACUCCUUGGUCUGCGUAACUUCCUGCUGGUCCAGGGCUCGUCCUCACCAGAUGAAGGGCUCUCA